UACGGGGGGGGCAAGCGUUGUUCGGAAUUACUGGGCGUAAAGGGCUCGUAGGCGGCCAACUAAGUCGGAUGUGAAAUCCCCAGGCUUAACCUGGGAACUGCAUCCGAUACUGGAUGGCUUGAAUCCGGGAGAGGGAUGCAGAAUUCCAGGUGUAGCGGUGAAAUGCGUAGAUAUCAGGAGGAACACCGGUCGCGAAGGCGGGUCUCUGGGCAGUAACUGACGCUGAGGAGCGAAAGCGUGGGGAGCGAACAGG
rnacentral:rRNA from 1 species